rnacentral:rRNA from 1 species
UACGUAGGUGGCAAGCGUUGUUCGGAAUGACUGGGCGUAAAGGGCGUGUAGGUGGACUGAUCAGUCGGGUGUGAAAUAUCCAGGCUCAACCUGGAGGGUGCAUCCGAUGCGGUCAGUCUUGAGUGCAGGAGAGGGCAGUGGAAUUCCCAGUGUAGCGGUGAAAUGCGUAGAUAUUGGGAGGAACACCAGUGGCGAAGGCGGCUGCCUGGACUGUAACUGACACUGAGGCGCGAAAGCGUGGGGAGCAAACA